rnacentral:ncRNA from 1 species
UCCGCUGAACUUAAGCAUAUAACUAAGCGGAGGAAAAGAAACAAACCAGGAUUCCCCUAGUAACGGCGAGUAAAGAGGGAAUAGCCCAGCACCGAAACUUGCAGUAGGUAAAAUGCUAGGAAAUGUGGUGUUUGGGUCAGCUCUCGGGAUUGCGACUCAACUCGUAGUUCAGCAUUGAUUUUGGUACACUGGAUUUGGCCCAGAGAGGGUGAAGUCCCGUGUGAGUGGAGAAUCAAACAUGUGAGGCAUUUAACCAGGUCAACAAUGGAGUCGGGUUGUUUGAGAAUGCAGCCUAAAGUGAAUGGUUUACUCCAUCCAAGGCUAAAUCUAAGCCCGAGUCCGAUAGUGAACAAGUACCGUGAGGGAAAGUUGAAAAGUAAUUUGAAGAGAGAGAAAACAGUACGUGAAACAACAUAGAGGUAAAGGGUUGGCGACAAGCUGCANGAUGGUUUACUCCAUCCAAGGCUAAAUCUAAGCCCGAGUCCGAUAGUGAACAAGUACCGUGAGGGAAAGUUGAAAAGUAAUUUGAAGAGAGAGAAAACAGUACGUGAAACAACAUAGAGGUAAAGGGUUGGCGACAAGCUGCAAGCCUAGAGGAUUCAGUUCGUCUGUGUGUUUGCCUGUCUGGCGCGUCUGUCGGACGGACAGUCCACUGCGAAAAGGUUGGCUUGGUCUUCCCUCGGGUGGGACGGGAUUAGUGUUCCGACAGGUUGCCGAAGCUGGCUGUUUUGUCUGUCUGCGCAAAUAAUGUGGAUAGACCGGCUAAAGCACUUCCUCUAUCUAGUGAGCACCACGACUUGUGUUACUGCCAAUUUGCCUUUGUCCAAUAGAGUUGGGCUGGUGGUUGCUCUGGGGUCGUCGGCAGAGGUUCGAUCAUCACAUAAAAAUGUUUCGUGAGUGGCAUGUGUAGGCAUUCUCGCAUGCACACGUGUAAUCAAGCACUGGUCAUCAAUAUCUCUGUCUGUCGGUUGAGUAUUUUAUGCUUUUGCAGUCGCCAGCAGAUGUCCUGGUGGACUAAGGUGGUAUAAAUAACGUUGCGGGGCACAAGGGUUAACAGUCUUAAGUUUCUGGCUCAUCAAUAAACUGCAUGUUAACCUUGGGUGUUGGUGUGGGCUGCCAUUGGCUAUGUCUGAUCGUCGUGUUGCCUGCGCAAAGUGAGCCGGCGCUGGUCUUCUGUUGGGUGGUCUUACAUGCGGUACCUCCUGUACGAGUCGGCCAGGAACAAACAGUAUGUGGUGUUGUUGUAGACGAGCUAUCCGACCCGUCUUGAAACACGG